GGGGGUGUAGCUCAGUUGGUAGAGUGUUUGUGUCUCACAAACACAAAGCUGUGGGUUCAAUUUCCAGCACACACA
rnacentral:tRNA from 1 species